ACGAUGACGCCGCCCACAACUCCCAUCGUGUUUCCCCAAUCGCUUCUUCUCCGCGCCGCCGUCCUCUGGCUGCCCGUCGACGCAUCUGCUCCCCGCCGCCCGUUUCCUAUUCUCUCCCCCGCGGACGCCUGCCGGCUACAGCGCCGCCGCCUGCCCCAACGUCCCGCUCCCCACCUCUGCAGGCCCAGCACCCUGCACUUGUCGCCCGUGUGCGCCGACCGAGUUCCUGCCGCCUUGAAGUAGAAAUCGACUGAGAUCUGGAAGAUUUUAUCCGGUCUGCUCAGGUUUCACUCGAUCGGGGAUUGGAAAAACACAUGUUCCUGUACUGCUCUCAAGACGAUGGGAACCAGAAGCGGCCGGAUUUGAUCACAUCCAACCAAGGGGAUGCGACUUCGUGAAGGUGCGGAAACCGGCGAGAUGCAACUCCAAAUAUUUUUACGAGCUCAUCGAGUGCCCCGGUCUGCAGUAACUCUAUGUGAUCCACCAGGCCAGCAGCUCAUAGUUAUCUAUUUUUUUAUUCCCUCUAGAAUCAUGGGCGGAUCCUGGUUGCUUGCUUGGGCUCUUGGUCUGAAAUUCUAACUGGUGUCUCUAGCUGAGGAAGAAGUCGAAUUAUUGGUUGCUAAUUCCUAGACGUUGAGAGCAAAGCAGCCCAAGCUGAAGAAUCACAUAAAAAUGAGUCACCGAAAAAAGGAGCUAAAGUAUGAAUGGAGUUAUCUGAAAGGAUCCAAGGAGAUGCGGUUUGAGAAUACAUUUUAUUUCAAGUAGUAAUUUAACUGCUCAUUUUCUUAUAUGAGCGACGCAGUAGCCCGAAGCGUUUUCCAACCUUGAAUUGUCCCUUCUUAUACAUCUCUACAAGGUACCAUGUCUGAGUCUGAACUGAUUUUACAUAAACUGUAGUUCAUGGUUGCA